UACGGGGGGGGCAAGCGUUGUUCGGAAUUACUGGGCGUAAAGCGCACGUAGGCGGCUUUGUAAGUAAGAGGUGAAAGCCUGGUGCUCAACACCAGAACUGCCUUUUAGACUGCAUCGCUUGAAUCCAGGAGAGGUGAGUGGAAUUCCGAGUGUAGAGGUGAAAUUCGUAGAUAUUCGGAAGAACACCAGUGGCGAAGGCGGCUCACUGGACUGGUAUUGACGCUGAGGUGCGAAAGCGUGGGGAGCAAACAGG
rnacentral:rRNA from 1 species